AUCUUGAAUCCUUAUAAAAAAGGGAUCAAAAUUAGGAGAAAAGUUGUUGUGCUUUGAGAUACCUAAGAUGAAUACUCACUUAAUACAAAAAGAAGAGUAUCACGAAAAUCACGCUUGUAGUUGUUUUGGUGGAGGGACUGAUUCUAGAGCUUCGUACUCAGUCAUCGUCCAUGAUACCACUCCCUGCUGUGUUCAUUUUUAAAAGUGUUCCUGUUUGGACAAAAAGUUUUAUGGUCACCCAUUGAUGUACUGUCUGUAGGACAGGGGUAGCCUGAAUACCUGCUUCACUGAAUACCUGCUUCACAGCUCCUUUCACAUUUUCUUGUUGGAAAGACAACCGUUGGAGAAUCAUCUUGUUACCAUCAGCAAAAAUGCAAACAAAUCAAGACAUUAAGAAUGCCACAGUGGCCAGCAGUUAAUGAUGCCAGUGUUACACAAGCUUCAGCAAAGUUUUCAAGACAGUGUGCCUCACUAGCCAGAAAUCAGGGAAGAUUGAACCUAUCCUUUUUGUCUCAGCUGUUCCUUAAAUCAAUGCAUCCCCUCCAAAUUAAUGUGAAUUGAAACACGCAUUGCCUUUUUAACUUAAUUGAGUACUUACUAUGGGUGAAUCACUGCACAAAAUAGGGGAGGGAAAAUGAGGGAGACAAGUAAGAUGUGUUUCCUGCUUUCAAUGGAUUUACAAUUACUUUCAGGGCACUUUUUUUUUUCUUCUGCUCUUAAUUAAAUGUGUUUCUAAGAUAGAAAACAAAUGAAUGGAAAAGUAUAUUCUGCAAGUAUUUUAAAUCCCUUUAAUAAAAAAUGAAACAAAACAAUCUAAUGUGGGCAAGUGAAGGACAUCUUAAUUCCAUUUUUUUGGACUUUCGAUAGGUAGGGUUUUUUUAUUGAUUCUAUAAAUAUUUGGCAGACUUUAGAGAUAUUAACACAUUAGAGUUGGAAUUAAUUGGAUUAAUUUUUUUCCUCCUAGGUAUAGAUUGUCUGUUGAAAAGAUACAUUGUGUUUGUACAUUUCUUGAAGAGUGGAUAGGUGAAUUACAUUUGUUGCCUCUGUAGGCCUCUACCUUCUGUGCCCUAGGAGCCUGACAUCCUGUGUGAGUUAUUAGCAUGUGGAAGGGGAACAUUCGGAUCAAACUUGGGAAUAUUGUUCACGGACCCAAGACAGGGCAGGAAUAGGAGCAAAACAGACCCAGGCAAUGACUCUGUCAGAAAAUUUGGCUAUUUCAGUAUUCAUGUGUUGUCCUCUAUGUUCCAAAAUUACUGUACAGUUUUUUCAAAAACUUAUUUCUGAUCUGGGAAUAAGUCAUGAUUUUUAGUGUUAAAACACUAAUAGGACUGUAGAUACUAGACAUUUUAUAUGGUGUUUGUAACACAUUUUAUUAUGUAUGAAGCAACAAUAGACACGUCUUUGUCUUGAGUAGUGUCCAUCUGAAUGGAAAAUGUGCCAGCUUUUUUUUUUUAAACAUCAUCAACAGACUUCUUAAUUAAGCUGCCAAUAAUACUGCUAAUAGCACUGUGCAUCAUUUGAGAAAUGAAUUGUGAAGUGCUCUUUCCCUCUUAUUGAAUAAACAAUUGCUGCAUAUAAAAUGGAUUUAAACUGUUUUUGAAUAGGAGAUUAUAUUUCUCCCUAAAGAAUUUGAUGAGAAUUCUCAUACAUUCCCUUUUUACUUAAUUUCCAAAAAUUAAGUAUUUUGCUCCCCAGUAAGAAAUUGUUCUAAUUUGACCAGUGAGUUUAAUGAUAUGAUCCAUCCUUAAUAGGAUGAAUCUCCCUGCCCCCAAAAUCCUGAUGGUGAUACUGGAUAUUUGUUAAUCUGAGUUAUGAAACUAUAUUGUACUAAACUGUAGACCUUUAUUUCCUAUUCUGUGGAAUUUUUUGUAGGGAACAUCUCUAUGUUCCUGGAAACUAGCACAGUGGCUGGUGCAUAGUAGGUAUGUGUUGAGUGAACAUUUGGCGAUCAAAAAAAUGUGUAAGGUAGCUUUUUUCUGGGCUUCUUAAGGCUCUGUAAAAGACAGAGGGGUCUUGCUAAUAGAGUAGCACUUUCAUUGGUUUCCAGUCAAUCUAGUUAGAAUAAGUCCAAGUUAACCAGUUUCUUCAUAUUUGUUUAGUCCACUGGGGUUCUUAAUGGGUGUCUUAGAUUCAUAAGUUUGGCCCUGUGAUUUGUACUAACAUCCACUCUGCUUUCCCUGGCCCUUGGCCAACUCGAUCGGGGUAGGCCUUUGGAGGGGCUGUUCUGCUUCUCCUCUGGCUUGUCUACCACUAGAAGAGUAAUCACUCCAUUCACUGGGUAUUCACGACAUGCCAGGCACUGAGCUAAGUGUUUUACACAUAUCCUCUCACUUAAUUAUCUCAUUUAAACCUUACAGCAACCAUUUGAAGUAGGUAUUAUCUACUGCAGAGAUAUGUAUGUAUCUUGCUUAAGUCAUGGGGAUCUAAAUCCAGAUCUCUUAGAUUCUAAAGCCUGAACUAUUAACCUCUCCCCUCCACUGCAUCCCAGGAGAAAUUCCCAGUGCCUGGUGGUGUGGGGGCAGAUCAAAUCUGGAUGUAGUCCAGAUUCAUUUCAUUUAGUAUUCCCAAACAACAAACUGUCUAACAGAUAAAACCCAGCAAAUCACAGUUGUUUUGAGAAUGGGGGAGGGCAGAGCAAUUGGGAGAAAGCAAAGUUGGAGACAAACCAAUUUGAGUCAAACCUUUAGCCUUUAUCUCAUAAUGCUUUUUUUUUUUUAAACUUUCUUUUUUUAACAUGGCCUGACACCAUGUGAUAAAUCAAAGCCUGACGUAAUUGACCCAGAAUUGAUCCCCAAAUGUCUUUUGGGGGAACAUGCUUUAACUCUAGUUGUUGAUUCUGAGGAAUAAUUGCCACCCUAGAAAGGUAAUUACAUAUGCCAUUGUUUAUACACAUAAUAGGCUCAGAAUGCAUAUUCUGCACAGAGGGAAAGAGAAUCCUGCUUCCACAUUAGGGGUGUGUGUUAUGUAUUGUGUCAGAAUGCCACAAAUAGCGUUUGAACUGUUCCCUCUUACUGCUUAUUUCCCUAACGUGUGUGUGUGUGCAUAUGUGUGCGUGUGUAAGGGUGAGGUUGGGAGUGAGGAAGGAGGUGGGCCAUGGACAGCUGUUUGUUGAGCUGAGCGACAGUGAUUUGCUUUUCCUUAAUUUUUUAGCUUACCAAAACAUCUUCUGGAUCUGAUUCAUUUAGCUUGGGCUGGUAAGAGGACUUUUUUCUUCCUGCUUGGCAUAUGCUUAUUAAUGAGUUCUUAUAUUUCUGUCCAUCAAGCACUAUUUACCUUGUGGAAAUAUAAAGUGAGAAUCUUUCUCCGCAACAUCCUCCUAAAUGCCCUGGUUUUGACCACCCCUUUAAGUACACCAGAUAGUCAGCUAAAAUGGUAGCUAGUGCCUUUCCUCUCACUGUGCUUUCUGGUAAAACAUAAAUGGGAUUUAAACCACAAAUGACCAAUUAAAGCACUUCAUGCCUUUUUCCUUUAGCCAUAAGACAGUAGUUAACUUGAGUAAAUAUAACAAAUAGGCUAUUUUGUGGUAAUAGGUAG